GAUGAACGCUGGCGGCGUGCCUAAUACAUGCAAGUCGAACGAAGAUCUAGCUUGCUAGAUCUUAGUGGCGAACGGGUGAGUAAUACAUAAAUAAUCUGCCCAUAUGACUGGGAUAACUAUUGGAAACGAUAGCUAAUACCGGAUAGGUUGAUCGGAGGCAUCUCUGAUGAAUUAAAGUAGGAUUUCUACACAAAUGGAUGAGUUUAUGGCGCAUUAGUUAGUUGGUGGGGUAACGGCCUACCAAGACGAUGAUGCGUAGCCGACCUGAGAGGGUGACCGGCCACACUGGGACUGAGACACGGCCCAGACUCCUACGGGAGGCAGCAGUAGGGAAUUUUCGGCAAUGGGCGCAAGCCUGACCGAGCAACGCCGCGUGAGUGAUUAAGGCCUUCGGGUUGUAAAGCUCUGUUGUAAGGGAAGAACAUUCAGGAUAGGAAAUGAUCUCGAACUGACGGUACCUUACCAGGAAGCCACGGCUAACUACGUGCCAGCCGCCGCCGUAA
rnacentral:rRNA from 1 species